ACAGGUUCACUCUCCAGAUGGCCACAACGGCCGGAGCUGCACCAAUCCGAAGCCAGGAGCCAGGAACUUCUUCUGGGUCUCCCACGUGGGUGCAGGGGCCCAAGCACUUGGGCCAUCUUCUACUGCUUUCCCAGGCCAUAGCAGACAGGUUGACUGGAAGAGGAGCAACCGGGACUAGAACCAGCAUCCAUAUGGGAUGCCGGCGCUACAGGCAGAGGAUUAGUGCACCACAGCGCUGGCCCCAUGCACGUUGUUCUUUUGGGCCGAAUGGAUAAUAUACAGCUUCCUAAUAUGGCUUCUUCCCACACUUCACAAAAAUACUUUUCUGCAUACCAGCAAUGACCUGCUAAGCCACAAUACCAGUGGCCUUGUCUCCAUGCUUCCUCUGGUCCCCCUUUCUGCAGCAUUUGAGCUCUGAAUCUGCCUUCCCUUUUGGAAGAAGUCACAGUGCAUUAGAGACCGGGAGCUGGAGAUUCAGAUUUGCAAACAGAGAAGUGUUUCUGGCAGAGGAGAAGCUCACUGGGUGGGUGCUCGGGUGCCCCUGUUCUGAGAAAUGCAGAGGGCAGGGGGAGAGGUGGCUAAGGGAACAAGGAAUAGGGACAGGAGGCAAUUGGGACACUCAAAGAGAGAGAAGCCAAAGGACACUGGGCACCCAACUGUGUACUGUGUGGAGUGAAUAAUGGCACGGUUUGUGGGUGGCAUUGAGAAAUUCCACCCACAAUGAUGGAGUGUCUAGGAGCAUUUUAAGAGAGAAAAGGAAGAGCAGUGAAUAAAGUGUGGGAGGCAGCAUGAGAAGAGGAGGUGCACCAGAACUGCCUGUCAAUUCAUGAGCUCCAUCCACCCAGAAAAGAUCAAUGAUUCACCGAGAUAAUGAUUUCCUUGCCUGCCUCCAUUUUCCUUUUUCUCUUGUCCCGUAGUUCCUCUUCCUUGGAACGUUCAUGAGUAAAUUGUAUCACAAAAUGAUGGAACUUGUUCAUCUCUUCUUGUCAAAUCCCAGGCCCUGUUGCCAUGGGACUUCCUGCUGUUUUCCAUUCAGGGAUUUUAUAUAAAGAUGUGUGUGCAAGUGCAGCAGAUAAAAGGUCUCGUUAAAAUGAAUGUGCAAUUACUUUUCAUUUUAAUGAUGCUGUCUUCUAAUCUGUGGGGGAAAAAUGCACUUACGGCAUUUGGAAUAAAGAUAAUGAGUCAAGUGUAUACUAUGAUUCUUUUCCAGGCUCUGGACAUUUCAUACUGAUAAUCAUUUUCAGUUUUUCAAUGGAAUGCAUGUGAAAAGCUUUGGUGGGUAGGGUCAUUCAUUCCUCUGGUGGAUAUGGACUGAAAGCCUUGCUCUGCUGGGUUUCUGUGAAGACCAAACACCUAACAACACAAUUCAAUACUAAACAAAUGUGUUAAGGCCAGUGGAUGAUGCACCCAAACUGUUAUGAAGACUACAAAGCAGCGCAACCAUUGUAAUUUGUCAAUUACCAAGGGUAGGACCACCUGGGAGACCAUUUGACCCAUGACUUUUAUGCUCUUUGCACUUGGCAAUGGAAGAGGUGGGAUCUUCAUUCUAGGGGAAAGAUUCACAGAAGUGAGAUUUACUGUCCUGCUCCGACUUUGGGCUGGAGAGGCAAUUCACCAAAAUGGAACUGGGUUACUUUCUGAAAAGGGGUAGGAGCGAGAAAACUAAUGACAACAUAAGGUCAGGGGAGCAUCAGACAGUCUCCGCCGUGCUCUGAGAAUUGUCUCUGCCUUAAAGAUGCAGGGAUUACUGCAGGAAUCCUUUCUGCUUGCUGUCAUUUGGAUCCUUUUCAGCAAAGUGAUAAAAACUGACUGUCUAGUUCUGUUGUGUAGAACUCAGUCCAAUCACCUGUCACCUUGAAUGACUUGGAGAUGACCGGUCCAUUACGGUGUCACCAUUUCCCAUUGCCUUUUAUAUGCUUUAAAUGCUUAUCAACAUCGCUCACCGCCUGCCUGUGUGCUUCAGGCGGCUGGGACUUCCGGGUCCACCCAGGCAUGUGUCUUCAGCCAUUGGUUCUACUAGGCUGAAAUUCUACUCAGAGCACCCGUCACACCAGUUUAGUGUUGCAGUUAGUAGCACAUUUUCCUCGGUAUAUAUUUUUAAAAAUUCUGUUACCUUCUGUUCUAAUUGCAUUUGCAAGUGUGCCAGUCAGCUACCAGAAGUCCGCAGGGUUAAUUGCUGUAGUUAUCUUAUGGCCACUUUCCAGAUUUUCACUUCAAGUAUUUGCAUCUUUAUAUUAGCAAAUCUCUCAUUGUGGGGGGAGUUUUUAUGCCCCCUCCAGAUCUGGAUGAGUGACUAGAGAUGCGUUACUCACACAAUGAAAGCACGGUCUAGUUUGA